AUGGUAUGGGGGUAAACAAAGCGCUUGAAAAUGAAGAAAUGUGUUUUUGAUUGUUCAAUUAAUGUUAAUAGUCAUCCGAACUUGAUUUGUUAUAUUUUGCUUCCUGAUCCAAAGAGAAGAAAAUCGUGGCUUUAUGCUUUAUAUAAAACUGAUUCAUCUUGCAAAAACAAACUUUGGUCGCAAAACAUGUCUAAGUAUGCUCAAAACAUUUGUAUCUGAAUAUUAUGUACAAAUAAGUCAUUGCAAUAAAUCUCAAGUUAUUAAAGUCAGUGAACAAAUAAGUACUGACAAUUCGUUGACUGGAGUGGAAGAUGUUAGUGUCUUGAACCAACAUGAAACAACAAGUUAACUUAGCUGAGAAUGAUGGUAGUUUAAAAAUAAUGCAGCAUUGGCUAGGAUUGUUCCUAGGUCACAAAAACAAUCUUACAAAAGUUUCUGCUAUUGUCACUAGUUUUAGAGAGUACCUUCGUGAAUGAAGAUAAAAAGUCAUUUAUGUUAUUUUUUAAAAGCCAAGACAUAAUAUUGUUAAUCCUCAUACCAUUUAC
rnacentral:lncRNA from 1 species